CUUGACCAGAAAAUAUUUGGGAAUCCAGGCCACACCUCUGAAACGUAACCAGACCCUUGGGCACUGCCGGACAGGAGGUGCAGCGUCCAUGAGGAACAUUGCACUGCGAAUGAGGAAUUGGGACCAGGAAUCCCAGGACACAUUCAGAGGG